rnacentral:lncRNA from 10 species
CAGUUUUCUCAGACAGGACACGGGGGAAGUGUGAAGCCCCGAGUGCCACGCUGAGCACUGAGCUGAGCUGCCUCUGAGGUCUCUGCAUGGAUGCAAUGAGGGCCGUCGUAUUCAUAAGCUGAGUGCAGGGAGAAGUUGGGGUUGGAGCCAUCAGUGCAGUGGUCUUGGGGUGGGAUGAGGCCACCAGGCAGCGAGUGCAGUUAGACAAGAUUCAAGGGCCAGGCCCGUGGCUGCUGAUGCGCAUCAGGUGGGAGGGAAGAGGAGAGUCCCGUAAAGGAGAGCCUGCUCUGCGGAGAAGGGGGGCAGCUGUGCUGAUGCUGCUGGGUGGGGCCAUCGGCUUGGGGCACAGGGUGUCCAUGGAGACCCCGAGGAGAACUGCUACCAUAGAAGGGGGUGGGGGAAGGCUGUUUUAAAGUGGACUGAAGUAUGAAAGGGACACACCUGCUCUGGGCAGUGGGCUGGACUAGGUGUUCUGCGAGGCCCCCCACUCCUAAACAACUACAAAGAAUAAAGAAAAAAGCAGGGUAGACACAGGCCCAUGAAAUCCUGAGCAUGUGUGACCGGCAGGGUUCCCUGGGGCAGACGCCAGCUUCAGCACAGCAGUGGGGACGUGGAUCACGGUGAGGUGUUGGCCUGGGAAUGAGCCAAGUUAAGCCAGGGCAGCCCCCUUCCUCCAGCUCUCUGAAUCAUUCUGGAUUUAGAUCCCCAGAUUUCCUGCAGAUUCGAAUGAACCAAGAUCACCAAAAUAAAAGGAAACCAGGCACCACCUGUGAGGAUUUGGAGGAAAUAACAAAUGCAGACUUUUGGCAAUAUGACGGUUAAAGUAAAAAAACUCAAUGGAAAAAGUAUUUGGAAAACUCAGUGAAAAAGUUCAACACUUGCUCAUGAAAAACAAUACAAAGACACAAGCUGCUAGAAAGGAAGCUAAUCUGAUAAAGAAUAUCUACAAAUGCAUUGAUACUUUUCCCUCUGAGGUUGGGAGAAAGACAAGGAUGCCCACUGUCAUCACUCCUAUUCAGCACUGGAAAUCUUAGCCAGUGCAAUAAAGCAAGGAAAAG